UAAUACGGAGGGAGCGAGCGUUGUUCGGAAUCAUUGGGCGUAAAGGGCAUGUAGGCGGCUUUGUAAGUCGGGUGUGAAAUCCCAUCACUUAAGGGUGGAAUGGCAUUCGAAACUGCAAGGCUUGAGUUCAGGGGAAGAGAGCGGAAUUCUCGGUGUAGCGGUGAAAUGCGUAGAUAUCGAGAAGAACACCAGCGGCGUAAGCGGCUCUCUAUCCUGAAACUGACGCUGAGGUGCGAAAGCCAGGGGAGCGAACGGGAUUAGAUACCCCGGUAGUCCUGGCCAUAAACGAUGUGCACUUGGUGUUGGGCCGCGAGGCUCAGUGCCGAAGCUAACGCAUUAAGUGCACCGCCUGGGGAGUACGACCGCAAGGUUGAAACUUAAAUGAAUUGACGG
rnacentral:rRNA from 1 species